AACGAACGCUGGCGGCAUGCCUAACACAUGCAAGUCGAACGAAGCCUUCGGGCUUAGUGGCGCACGGGUGCGUAACGCGUGGGAAUCUGCCCCUUGCUUCGGAAUAACAGUUAGAAAUGACUGCUAAUACCGGAUGAUGUCUUCGGACCAAAGAUUUAUCGGCAAGGGAUGAGCCCGCGUAGGAUUAGGUAGUUGGUGGGGUAAAGGCCUACCAAGCCGACGAUCCUUAGCUGGUCUGAGAGGAUGAUCAGCCACACUGGGACUGAGACACGGCCCAGACUCCUACGGGAGGCAGCAGUGGGGAAUAUUGGACAAUGGGGGCAACCCUGAUCCAGCAAUGCCGCGUGAGUGAUGAAGGCCUUAGGGUUGUAAAGCUCUUUUACCAGGGAUGAUAAUGACAGUACCUGGAGAAUAAGCUCCGGCUAACUCCGUGUCAGCCGCCGCGGUAACAC
rnacentral:rRNA from 1 species